GAGAAGACCCCAUGGAGCUUUAAACCCAACGACACCCAUUUUCUUUAUACCCUAGUAUUCAUUUGGCUAUGUUUGAUUGGUUUUAGGUUGGGGUGACCACGGAGCAUAAAAUAACCUCCACGAAGAAGAGACUAAUAAUCUUUAUCAAAGAAGUACACUUCUAAGAAUUAACAAAUUAAUUUCCAAUGAUCCGAUAUUCGAUCAACGAACCAAGUUACCCUGGGGAUAACAGCGCAAUCCACCUCAAGAGCUCCUAUCGACAGGUGGGUUUACGACCUCGAUGUUGGAUCAGGAUAUCCCAGUGGUGUAGCAGCUACUAAAGGUUCGUUUGUUCAACGAUUAAAAUCCU
rnacentral:rRNA from 1 species